rnacentral:rRNA from 1 species
CAGCAGCCACGGUAAUACGGAGGGGGCUAGCGUUGUUCGGAAUUACUGGGCGUAAAGCGUACGUAGGCGGCUUUGUAAGUUAGAGGUGAAAGCCUGGUGCUCAACACCAGAACUGCCUUUAAGACUGCAUCGCUUGAACGUCGGAGAGGUGAGUGGAAUUCCGAGUGUAGAGGUGAAAUUCGUAGAUAUUCGGAAGAACACCAGUGGCGAAGGCGGCUCACUGGACGACUGUUGACGCUGAGGUACGAAAGCGUGGGGAGCAAACAGGAUUAGAUACCCGAGUAGUCCCUGUCUCUUAUAC